rnacentral:misc_RNA from 1 species
AACUUUCAGCUACGGAUCUCUUGGUUCUGGCAUCGAUGAAGAACGCAGCGAAAUGCGAUAAGUAAUGUGAAUUGCAGAAUUCAGUGAAUCAUCGAAUCUUUGAACGCACAUUGCGCCCUCUGGUAUUCCGGGGGGCAUGCCUGUUCGAGCGUCAUUACAACCCUCAAGCUCUGCUUGGUAUUAAGCCUCACCUGUAAUGGCGGGCUAUAAAAUCAAUGGCGGUGCCAUCUGGCUUCAAGCGUAGUAAUUUUUCUCGCUUUGGGGACCUGCUGUGUACCUGCUUAACACCAAUUUUAUUUAAAGGUUGACCUCGGAUCAGGUAGGGAUACCCGCUGAACUUAAGCAUAUCAAUAAGCGGAGGCU